rnacentral:misc_RNA from 1 species
CCCAGUGAAGCGACCAAUCGUUGUUGAAAUUGACGGCAAUUGAUUGGUUUUUCGCACCUGCGAAUGCACCCAUCCCUGUUUGCACGUCCAUGCUGCCCCAAUCCUCACAGUACAGGCCUCAAGGGUUCGCACUGUAUGGUUGGCAAUGCGUGGAGCGUGAAAGCAGGAGUGCGCUCGCACCUGCGAAUGCACCCAUCCCUGUUUGCACGUCCAUGCUGCCCCAAUCGUCACAGUACAGGCCUCAAGGGUUCGCACUGUAUGGCUGGCAAUGCGUGGAGCGUGAAAGCAGGAGCUGCGCACUGCGCAGAAAUCUCUUGGCUGACUGUGGGUUCCUGGUAGUCAUGGAUCACUGAAGCGCGAAUUCUUUGCAAAGCACAUGCGUUGCAUUGUGCAUGUGAUUCCAAUCAUUGGGCCUGCUCUUGCUUUGCAUGGCGCUCGUUGAUGGAAGUUCACGCGCGAGGUUCUCGUGGAAAGGAGUCGGAUUCAUUGGUUCGGCUGCUAAUUCUUUCUUUGCUCGUUGAGCUUUGUUGCUGCCUCGACGGGGCUUCGGUGACAAGGCGUUCGUCGUCUUUCUCAUUGUGGCCCCCGAUCGGUGGUGAUGUAAC